AGCAGCCGCGGUAAUUCCAGCUCCAAUAGCGUAUAUUAAAGUUGUUGCAGUUAAAAAGCUCGUAGUUGAAUUUCGGGGUCAGUAGGUCGGUCGUGCCACUGGUAUGAACUGGUUUUACUGAUUCCUCCCUCUUGAAGAACUGUAAUGCCAUUAAUUUGGUGUUGCAGGGAAUCAGGACUGUUACUUUGAAAAAAUUAGAGUGUUUAAAGCAGGCUUUAGCUUGAAUACAUUAGCAUGGAAUAAUGAAAUAGGACGUUUGAUCCUAUUUUGUUGGUUUCUGGGAUUGACGUAAUGAUUAAUAGGGAUAGUUGGGGGCAUUAGUAUUCAAUUGUCAGAGGUGAAAUUCUUGGAUUUAUUGAAGACUAACUACUGCGAAAGCAUUUGCCAAGGAUGUUUUCAUUAAUCAAGAACGAAAGUUAGGGGAUCGAAGACGAUCAGAUACCGUCGUAGUCUUAACCAUAAACUAUGCCGACUAGGGAUCGGAUGAUGUUAAUUUUUUUAAUGACUCAUUCGGCGCCUU
rnacentral:misc_RNA from 1 species